CCUGUUCUCUCAAGCACGCCGACUCCUCCCGCAGUGCGGCGGCGGCCACAGCUAGCUGCUCACUACGCUCCCGACACUGGGACUGCAUCUUAACUGCGUCGGUUAAGAGGGACUCGACGCUCACUGCUACGGAGUCACACUGGUCCUUUGACAUGGUGGUGAUGGUGAUGGGUGGUCUAUAUAGGUGGAGAGAGGGACGGAUGGGAGGGAUUUAGAGACUGGUCCUUUGACAUGGUGGUGAUGGUGAUGGGUGGUCUAUAUAGGUGGAGAGAGGGACGGAUGGGAGGGAUUUAGAGACUGGUCCUUUGACAUGGUGGUGAUGGUGAUGGGUGGUCUAUAUAGGUGGAGAGAGGGACGGAUGGGAGGGAUUUAGAGACUGGUCCUUUGACAUGGUGGUGAUGGUGAUGGGUGG
ensembl:lncRNA